rnacentral:rRNA from 1 species
GGGUCAGUAGGUUGGUCGUGCCACCGGUACGUACUGGUCUCACUGAUUCCUCCUUCCUGAAGUACCGUAAUGCCAUUAAUUUGGUGUUGCGGGGAAUCGGGACUGUUACUUUGAAAAAAUUAGUGUGUUUAAAGCAAGCUAACGCUUGAAUACAUUAGCAUGGAAUAAUGAAAUAGGACGAUCGAUCCUAUUUUGUUGGUUUCUAGGAUUGACGUA